rnacentral:rRNA from 1 species
UACGUAGGGCGCAAGCGUUGUCCGGAAUUAUUGGGCGUAAAGAGCUCGUAGGCGGCUUGUCACGUCGGGUGUGAAAGCCCGGGGCUUAACCCCGGGUCUGCAUUCGAUACGGGCUAGCUAGAGUGUGGUAGGGGAGAUCGGAAUUCCUGGUGUAGCGGUGGAAUGCGCAGAUAUCAGGAGGAACACCGGUGGCGAAGGCGGAUCUCUGGGCCAUAACUGACGCUGAGGAGCGAAAGCAUGGGGAGCGAACAGG